UACGGAGGGUGCAAACGUUGCUCGGAAUCAUUGGGCGUAAAGCGCACGUAGGCGGUUCGUUAAGUCGGAUGUGAAAGCCCUCGGCUCAACUGAGGAAGUGCACCCGAAACUGGCGAGCUUGAGUACGAAAGAGGAUCGCGGAAUUCCCGGUGUAGAGGUGAAAUUCGUAGAUAUCAGGAGGAACACCGGUGGCGAAGGCGGAUCUCUGGGCCGUAACUGACGCUGGAGGAGCGGAAAGCAUGGGGAGCGAACAGG
rnacentral:rRNA from 1 species